GACGAACGCUGGCGGCGUGCUUAACACAUGCAAGUCGAGCGGAGCGGCGAACGGGUGAGGAACGCGUGAGUAACUGCCCCCCUCUCUGGGAUAACAGUUGGAAACGGCUGCUAAUACCGGAUAGUGGGGGAUGACUCGCGUCCUAUCAGCUUGUUGGUGGGGGAGUGGCGUACCAAGGGGACGACGGGUAGCCGGCCUGAGAGUGCGACCGGCCACAUUAGGCUGAGAUACGGCCCAAACUCCUACGGGGGGCAGCAGGGGGGAAUAUUGCACACUGGGGGAAACUCUGAUGCAGAAACGCCGCGUGCGGGAUGACGUCCUUCGGGUUGUAAACCGCUUUCAGCCAUGACGCGGUAGUUGCAGAAGAAGCACCGGCUAACUACGUGCCAGCAGCCGCGGUAAUUC
rnacentral:rRNA from 1 species